rnacentral:rRNA from 1 species
AGGGCGCACGGUGAAUGCCUGGGCACUAGAAGCCGAUGAAGGACGUGACGAACCACGAAAGGCUACGGAGAGCUGUAAGUAAGCUAAGACCCGUAGAUAUCCGAAUGGGGGAACCCGGUGCAGCGAUGCAUCAUUAAAUACUGUUAAGGUAUUUAAAGGAAGACGCAAUGAACUGAAACAUCUAAGUAGCUGCAGGAAGAGAAAGAAAAAUCGAUUUCCUAAGUAGCGGCGAGCGAAAGGGAAAGAGCCCAAACCAUUGAAUUUAUUCAGUGGGGUUGUAGGACUACGAUGUGAGACAGAGAGGUAUAGUUGAAGUCUUUGGGAAAAGACGCCAGAGAGGGUGAGAGCCCCGUAAGCGAAAUAGCUCGAAGCUCUAGUAGUAUCCUGAGUAGGCCGGGACACGAGGAAUCCCGGUUGAAGCAGCGAGGACCAUCUCGCAAGGCUAAAUACUAACUAGUGACCGAUAGUGAACCAGUACCGUGAGGGAAAGGUGAAAAGAACCCCGGAAGGGGAGUGAAAGAGAACCUGAAACCGUGUGCCUACAAGUAGUCAAAGCACAUUAAAGUGUAAUGGCGUGCCUUUUGUAGAAUGAACCGGCGAGUUACGUUAAGUAGCGAGGUUAAGACAGAAAAGUCGGAGCCGAAGCGAAAGCGAGUCUGAAUAGGGCGAGCAGUUACUUGACGUAGACCCGAAACCAAGUGACCUACCCAUGUCCAGGUUGAAGGCUAGGUAAAACUGGCUGGAGGACCGAACCCACGUAAGUUAAAAAUUGCGGGGAUGAGGUGUGGGUAGCGGUGAAAUUCCAAACGAACUUGGAGAUAGCUGGUUCUCUCCGAAAUAGCUUUAGGGCUAGCCUCGCGAGAGAGGAUAAUGGAGGUAGAGCACUGUUUGGACUAGGGGCCCGUCAGGGGUUACUGAAUCCAGAUAAACUCCGAAUUCCAUAUAUCUAUACGCGGGAGUCAGACUGCGAGUGAUAAGAUCCGUAGUCGAAAGGGAAACAGCCCAGAUCACCAGUUAAGGUCCCCAAAUCUAUGCUAAGUGGAAAAGGAUGUGGAGUUGCGUAGACAACUAGGACGUUGGCUUAGAAGCAGCCAUCAUUCAAAGAGUGCGUAAUAGCUCACUAGUCGAGUGGCGCUGCGCCGAAAAUUUACCGGGGCUAAGCAUAGUACCGAAACUGUGGAUGUGCGUAAGCACGUGGUAGGAGAGCGUUCUAAUUGCGGCGAAGCCUAAUCGAGAGGAUAGGUGGAGCGAUUAGAAGUGAGAAUGCCGGUAUGAGUAGCGAAAGAUAGGUGAGAAUCCUAUCCGCCGAAAGACUAAGGUUUCCUGGGGCAGGCUCGUCCGCCCAGGGUAAGUCGGGACCUAAGGUAAGGCCGAGAGGCGUAGCCGAUGGACAACAGGUUGAGAUUCCUGUACUAAUAUUAAUCGUUAAGAGCAAUGGAGGGACGCAGUAGGCUAAUGGCGCAUGUAACUGGAAUCAUGUGUAAGCGUCAAGGCUUGAAGUGAGUCAAAUGCUUGCUUCUAAAAGGCUGAGGCGUGAUGCGGAGCGAAAUAAAGUAGCGAAGGUCAUGAUGUCACACUGCCGAGAAAAGCUUCUAGCCAGAGAGAUAUUACCCGUACCGCAAACCGACACAGGUAGUCGAGGAGAGAAUCCUCAGGUGAGCGAGAGAACUCUCGUUAAGGAACUCGGCAAAAUGACCCCGUAACUUCGGGAGAAGGGGUGCUGAUCUCCGGAUCAGCCGCAGUGAAUAGGCCCAAACAACUGUUUAUCAAAAACACAGGUAUCUGCAAAAUCGUAAGAUGACGUAUAGGUGCUGACACCUGCCCGGUGCUGGAAGGUUAAGAGGAGAGCUUAGCGCAAGCGAAGGUUUGAAUUGAAGCCCCAGUAAACGGCGGCCGUAACUAUAACGGUCCUAAGGUAGCGAAAUUCCUUGUCGGGUAAGUUCCGACCUGCACGAAAGGUGUAAUGAUUUGGGCACUGUCUCAACGAGAGACUCGGUGAAAUUAUAAUACCCGUGAAGAUGCGGGUUACCCGCGACAGGACGGAAAGACCCCAUGGAGCUUUACUGUAGCUUGAUAUUGAGUAUCUGUUAAACAUGUACAGGAUAGGUAGGAGCCAGAGAAAGUAGGACGCUAGUCUUACUGGAGGCGCUGUUGGGAUACUACCCUUGUUUGAUGGAUGCUCUAACCUAGGCCGCUAAGCGUGGUCAGGGACAGUGUCAGGUGGGCAGUUUGACUGGGGCGGUCGCCUCCUAAAGUGUAACGGAGGCGCCCAAAGGUUCCCUCAGAAUGGUUGGAAAUCAUUCGCAGAGUGUAAAGGUAUAAGGGAGCUUGACUGCGAGACCUACAAGUCGAGCAGGGACGAAAGUCGGGCUUAGUGAUCUGGUGGUACCGUAUGGAAGGGCCAUCACUCAACGGAUAAAAGCUACCCUGGGGAUAACAGGCUUAUCUCCCCCAAGAGUUCACAUCGACGGGGAGGUUUGGCACCUCGAUGUCGGCUCGUCGCAUCCUGGGGCUGAAGUCGGUCCCAAGGGUUGGGCUGUUCGCCCAUUAAAGCGGCACGCGAGCUGGGUUCAGAACGUCGUGAGACAGUUCGGUCCCUAUCCGUCGUGGGCGUAGGAAAUUUGAGAGGAGCUGUCCUUAGUACGAGAGGACCGGGAUGGACAUACCGCUGGUGUACCAGUUGUUCUGCCAAGGGCAUCGCUGGGUAGCUAUGUAUGGACGGGAUAAGCGCUGAAAGCAUCUAAGUGCGAAGCCCCCCUCGAGAUGAGAUUUCCUUUGC